rnacentral:rRNA from 1 species
CAAUACCGCGUGUGUGAAGAAGGCCUGAGGGUUGUAAAGCACUUUCAAUAGGGACGAAAAGCUUAGGGUUAAUAACCCUGAGUCUUGACUUAACCUGUACAAGAAGCACCGGCUAACUCCGUGCCAGCAGCCGCGGUAAUACGGAGGGUGCAAGCGUUAAUCGGAAUUACUGGGCGUAAAGCGCUCGUAGGCGGUUUGUUAAGUCGGAUGUGAAAGCCCCGGGCUCAACCUGGGAACUGCAUUCGAUACUGGCAGACUAGAGUAUAGUAGAGGCAAGUGGAAUUCCGGGUGUAGCGGUGAAAUGCGUAGAUAUCCGGAGGAACAUCAGUGGCGAAGGCGACUUGCUGGACUAAUACUGACGCUGAGGAGCGAAAGCGUGGGGAGCAAACGGGAUUAGAUACCCCGGUAGUCCACGCCGUAAACGAUGUCAACUAGCCGUUGGGGGUCUUAGUACCUUUAGUGGCGCAGCUAACGCAUUAAGUUGACCGCCUGGGGGA